GAUGAACGCUAGCUACAGGCUUAACACAUGCAAGUCGAGGGGAAACGAUAGAGAAAGCUUGCUUUUUCUAGGCGUCGACCGGCGCACGGGUGAGUAACGCGUAUCCAACCUGCCCAUCACUUGGGGAUAACCUUGCGAAAGUAAGACUAAUACCCAAUGACGUCUCUAGAAGACAUCUGAAAGAGAUUAAAGAUUUAUCGGUGAUGGAUGGGGAUGCGUCUGAUUAGCUUGUUGGCGGGGUAACGGCCCACCAAGGCGACGAUCAGUAGGGGUUCUGACAUGAAGGUCCGCCACAUUGGAACUGACACACGGUCCAAACUCCGACGGGAUGCAGCAGUGAGGAAUAUUGGUCGAUGUACGGUAGUCUGAACCAGCCAAGUAGCUUGCAGGAUGACGGCCCUAUGGGUUGUAAACUGCUUUUAUAAGGGAAUAAAGUGGGUCUCGUGAGACUUUUUGCAUGUACCUUAUGAAUAAGGACCGGCUAAUUCCGUUCCAGCAGCCGCAGUAA
rnacentral:rRNA from 1 species